rnacentral:lncRNA from 1 species
CCCUCGUUUUGCGAGAUGUCUUCUGAAUUGGACCGGUCGAAUACCAUGUUGGAUAAGCUAUUCGAUCGUCCGGAUUAUAGCUGAUGAUCAAAUGAGGAAAUUCAAACAAUAUUUUGCUGAAUUCAAACUCCAAUUAUCCAGGGAUAUUUGAAAUAUUUAAAGUUGGCAGUUUGCUUGAGGUCCAUGAUUAUGUAUUCUCAGUCUACAUCUCAACAUUAUAUUUUAAAAUCUUCUUUUCUACGAUGUUUGAGUUAUUUUUGAAUUUUGGUUAUUUCAUAAUAACAAGAAUGGGAGCUCAUCCUUGUCAUCAAUUAAUAUACCAGGAC